GUGAGUCAUCGAAUCUUUGAACGCACAUUGCACCCUCUGGUAUUCCGGAGGGUAUGCCUGUUUGAGUGUCAUUAAUAUCUCAACACAGUCAAGUUGUUUGACUUGCACUGAUGCUUGGAUGCUGAAGGUUGCUGGCAAUAUUUGUCAGCUCCUUUUAAAUGUAUUAGCAGAAACCUAUGCAAAAAGCUGGCUUCAGUUUGAUAAGCACUUAUCUGUAUUGCUGUUGCUAGUGAAAUGCCUUGUUUCAGCUUCCAAUUGUCCAAUCCUUUGGACUGCCUCUUGAGGUAAUUUAAUCUUGAC
rnacentral:misc_RNA from 1 species